GCUGUGAUCGUAUAGUGGUUAGUACUUCAUGUUGUGGCCGUGACAACCCAGGUUCGAAUCCUGGUCACAGCA
rnacentral:tRNA from 1 species